rnacentral:rRNA from 1 species
GGUGAACGCUGGCGGCGUGCUUAACACAUGCAAGUCGAACGAGAACGGGUUAUAGCUUGCUAUAAUUGUCAGCUAAGUGGCGCACGGGUGAGUAAUGUAUAGGUAAUAUGCCUCUUACUAAGGGAUAACAAUUGGAAACGAUUGCUAAUACCUUAUACUCCUUAUUAACUAAAGUUAGUAAGGGAAAGAUUUAUUGGUAAGAGAUUAGCCUGUAUUGUAUCAGUUAGUUGGUGGGGUAAUGGCCUACCAAGACUAUGACGCAUAACUGGUUUGAGAGGAUGAUCAGUCACACUGGAACUGAGACACGGUCCAGACUCCUACGGGAGGCAGCAGUGGGGAAUAUUGCACAAUGGACGAAAGUCUGAUGCAGCAACGCCGCGUGGAGGAUGACACAUUUCGGUGCGUAAACUCCUUUUAUAUAAGAAGAUAAUGACGGUAUUAUAUGAAUAAGCACCGGCUAACUCCGUGCCAGCAGCCGCAGUAA